CAAAAACAUCGCCUCUCGACUUAUCAUGAGAGGUCCAGCCUGCCCAGUGACCAAGUUUAACGGCCGCGGUAUCCUAACCGUGCGAAGGUAGCGUAAUCACUUGUUCUUUAAAUGAGGACUAGUAUGAAUGGCAUCACGAAGGCUAUACUGUCUCCUUUCUCUAAUCAAUGAAACUGAUCUCCCCAUGAAGAAGCGGGGAUAAAAAUAUAAGACGAGAAGACCCUAUGGAGCUUAAAACUAAGUGGCACUAGUUCCUAUAUUAACAUUUUUAAGAAUUACUUCAGCUAUUUUGACCACUAGUUUUAGGUUGGGGUGACCGCGGAGCACAAAACAACCUCCGCAUUGAACGGAGCCACGCCUGAGCAAAAAACUACGACUUUAAGCACCAAUAAAUUGACAUUAAUUGACCCAUUAUUUUGAUCAAUGAACCAAGUUACCCUAGGGAUAACAGCGCAAUCCACUUCAAGAGCCCCUAUCGACAAGUGGGUUUACGACCUCGAUGUUGGAUCAGGGUGUCCUAGUGGUGCAGCCGC
rnacentral:rRNA from 1 species